rnacentral:rRNA from 1 species
CGCCUCCUGCAGCACAAGUAUAGGAGGUCCAGCCUGCCCAGUGACUACGGGUUCAACGGCCGCGGUAUAUUGACCGUGCAAAGGUAGCGCAAUCACUUGUCUUUUAAAUAGAGACCUGUAUGAAUGGCUAGACGAGGGCUUAACUGUCUCCCCCCUCCAGUCAGUGAAAUUGAUCUGCCCGUGCAGAAGCGGGCAUAAAACUACAAGACGAGAAGACCCUAUGGAGCUUAAGGUACAAAACUUAACCACGUUAAACGACUCUUUAAAAAGCAAGAACCUAGUGGCCCUAAAGUCUUACCUUCGGUUGGGGCGACCACGGAGGAAAACUAAGCCUCCGAGUGGAAUGGGUAAUCCCUAAAGCCAAAAGAGACAUCUUUAAGCCGCAGAACAUCUGACCAACAAUGAUCCGGCUCUAGGGCCGAUCAACGAACCAAGUUACCCUAGGGAUAACAGCGCAAUCCUCUCCCAGAGCCCAUAUCGACGAGGGGGUUUACGACCUCGAUGUUGGAUCAGGACAUCCUAAUGGUGCAGCCGCUAUUAAGGGUUCGUUUGUUCAACGAUUAAAGUCCU